UUGCCUACGGGAGGCAGCAGUGGGGAAUAUUGGACAAUGGGCGCAAGCCUGAUCCAGCCAUGCCGCGUGUGUGAAGAAGGCCUUUUGGUUGUAAAGCACUUUAAGCGAGGAGGAGGCUACUUGGAUUAAUACUCUAGGAUAGUGGACGUUACUCGCAGAAUAAGCACCGGCUAACUCUGUGCCAGCAGCCGCGGUAAUACAGAGGGUGCGAGCGUUAAUCGGAUUUACUGGGCGUAAAGCGUGCGUAGGCGGCUUUUUAAGUCGGAUGUGAAAUCCCUGAGCUUAACUUAGGAAUUGCAUUCGAUACUGGGAAGCUAGAGUAUGGGAGAGGAUGGUAGAAUUCCAGGUGUAGCGGUGAAAUGCGUAGAGAUCUGGAGGAAUACCGAUGGCGAAGGCAGCCAUCUGGCCUAAUACUGACGCUGAGGUACGAAAGCAUGGGGAGCAAACAGGAUUAGAUACCCCGGUAGUCG
rnacentral:rRNA from 1 species